GCUUACGGCCAUACCACCCUGAGCACGCCCGAACUCGUCUGAUCUCGGAAGCUAAGCAGUGUCAGGCCUGGUUAGUACUUGAAUGGGAGACCGCCUGGGAAUACCAGGUGCUGUAAGCU
ensembl:rRNA 5S_rRNA 5S ribosomal RNA